CGUCAAGUUGUAUUUUUGUUCCUGUCCGAAAUCACGAUUGUCAUAAUUAUAAGCCAAGUCGAAACAAUGGAAAAUCACGGACAUGCAAUGCAGUUUUAUCUCGGUUGCAAGAAUACAGAUUAUUAUUAUACUCAUAAUUAUUGCAUUAUUUCGUCACCGAAAAACGAUUUUACCGAGAUUAAAUUGGCGCUACACGUAAUUUGCUGUAUGUGACUUACAAACGCACAGCAUGACAAAUGUACGCUCAGUUGAAAACGUUUUGUGAUUUUCUUUUUUAUAGUAGGCUGACCUAACUCAAAGGUAAGAAGACUAUAUGCAAUAGUGGCGAUCAAAUGAUUAUCUGUUUAAUAUUGAUUCACGACUUACAUUUUUACACGAUGAUAACCUUUCAUUUAGUAAUUAAUUACACUUUGUGUACUUAAAGUGUUAACUUCA